rnacentral:rRNA from 1 species
AUUGAACGCUGGCGGCAGGCCUAACACAUGCAAGUCGAACGGUAACAGGAAGAAGCUUGCUUCUUUGCUGACGAGCGGCGGACGGGUGAGUAAUGUCUGGGAAACUGCCUGAUGGAGGGGGAUAACUACUGGAAACGGUAGCUAAUACCGCAUAACGUCGCAAGACCAAAGAGGGGGACCUUCGGGCCUCUUGCCAUCGGAUGUGCCCAGAUGGGAUUAGCUAGUAGGUGGGGUAACGGCUCACCUAGGCGACGAUCCCUAGCUGGUCUGAGAGGAUGACCAGCCACACUGGAACUGAGACACGGUCCAGACUCCUACGGGAGGCAGCAGUGGGGAAUAUUGCACAAUGGGCGCAAGCCUGAUGCAGCCAUGCCGCGUGUAUGAAGAAGGCCUUCGGGUUGUAAAGUACUUUCAGCGGGGAGGAAGGGAGUAAAGUUAAUACCUUUGCUCAUUGACGUUACCCGCAGAAGAAACACCGGCUAACUCCGU